rnacentral:rRNA from 1 species
GGGCGGUUCGCCGCCGAUGACGUCGCGAGAAGUCCACUGAACCUUAUCAUUUAGAGGAAGGAGAAGUCGUAACAAGGUUUCCGUAGGUGAACCUGCGGAAGGAUCAUUG